AUCAAAUGAAGAAAAGCUUACGGUGGAUACCUAGGCACCUAGAGACGAUGAAGGGCGUGGAAACCAACGAAAUGCUUCGAGGAGCUGGAAACAAGCUAUGAUUCGAAGAUUCCCUAAUAGGGCAACCUUGUACACUACCUAUUGAAUUCAUAGAUAGGAAAGAGACAACCCAGUGAACUGAAACAUCUUAGUAGCUGGAGGAAAAGAAAGCAAACGCGAUUCCCUUAGUAGCGGCGAGCGAAAUGGGAACAGCCUAAACCGAUUCGAUUUUUUCGAGUUGGGGUUGUGGGAAGAAAUACGUAUAACUGCAAAAAAAAUUAUUUAACUAGGUGAAGCAGCUGAAUCCUGCACCAUAGAUGGUGAAAGUCCAGUAAUCGAAAGUUAAGUAAUAUUUUUAUUUCUUAUCCCGAGUAGCAUGGGGCACGUGAAAUCCCGUGUGAAUCAGCGAGGACCACCUCGUAAGGCUAAAUACUCCUAGGUGACCGAUAGUGAACUAGUACCGCGAGGGAAAGGUGAAAAAGAACCCCUAUAGGGGAGUGAAAUAGAACAUGAAACCGUAAGCUGUCAAGCAGUGGGAGGGCGAAAAGCCUGACCGCGUGCCUGUUGAAGAAUGAGCCGGCGACUUAUAGGGAGUGGCGUGGUUAAAGAAAACAUCUGAAGCCAAAGCGAAAGCAAGUCUUAAUAGGGCGCUCUUGUCACUUCUUAUGGACCCGAACCCGGGUGAUCUAACCAUGGCCAGGAUGAAGCUUGGGUAAAACCAAGUGGAGGUCCGAACCGACCGAUGUUGAAAAAUCGGCGGAUGAGCUGUGGUUAGGGGUGAAAUGCCAAUCGAACUCGGAGCUAGCUGGUUCUCCCCGAAAUGCGUUGAGGCGCAGCGGUUGAUGAAUUGGGCUAUCUAGGGGUAAAGCACUGUUUCGGUGCGGGCUGCGAGAGCGGUACCAAAUCGUAGCAAACUAAGAAUACUAGAUAUGCUUUCCAUCAACCAGUGAGACGGUGGGGGAUAAGCUUCAUCGUCGAGAGGGAAACAGCCCAGAUCACCAGCUAAGGCCCCUAAAUGGCCGCUAAGUGAUAAAGGAGGUAAGAAUGCUGAAACAACCAGGAGGUUUGCUUAGAAGCAGCCACCCUUAAAAGAGUGCGUAAUAGCUCACUGGUGGAGCGUUCUUGCGCCGAAAAUGAAUGGGACUAAGCGGUCUGCCGAAGCUGUGGGAUUUUUAAACAAAAAUAAAAUACAGAAAACUUUUUUCUGUGCUGCGGUUCUCGUAGACUAAAUUUAAACCUGCAAGGUUUAAACUACCCUCUGAGUAACUAAUGUUUUUUUUCGAAUUAAAAAUCGGUAGGGGAGCGUUCCGCUCUAGGGUGAAGCAUAAACGAAAGUUAAUGUGGACAAAGCGGAAGUGAGAAUGUCGGCUUGAGUAACGCAAACAUUGGUGAGAAUCCAAUGCCCCGAAAACCUAAGGGUUCCUCCACUAGGCUCGUCCAUGGAGGGUGAGUCAGGACCUAAGGCAAGGCCGAAAGGCGUAGUCGAUGGAAAACAGGUUAAUAUUCCUGUACUGAUUCUUAAUUGGUACCGAGGGACGAAGAAAGCAAAAGUUGGCCAAAAUUGGAUUUUUGGUGGAAACGUUCGAGGUGUUGAGAGGUAGAAUAAAAACUAACCUUGAGCUAAGGCGUGAUACGGUUUCAUUCCCUGAAAUUUUUUUUCAUAGUGAAAUUUAACGAAUUGUUAAACUUCCUAGAAAAGCUCGAACUACUAAUAAUUAAGAAUUACCUGUACCCCAAACCGACACAGGUAGGUGGGUAGAGUAUACCUAGGGGCGCGAGAUAACUCUCUCUAAGGAACUCGGCAAAAUGGCCCCGUAACUUCGGGAGAAGGGGUGCCUCUAGAAAUAGAGGCCGCAGUGACCAGGCCCAGGCGACUGUUUACCAAAAACACAGGUCUCCGCUAAGUCGUAAGACAAUAUAUGGGGGCUGACGCCUGCCCAGUGCCGGAAGGUGAAGGAAGUUGGUUAUUUUAUUCCUUGGAGUAAGAAAAGCUGACAACCGAAGCCCCGGUGAACGGCGGCCGUAACUAUAACGGUCCUAAGGUAGCGAAAUUCCUUGCCAGGUAAGUUCUGGCCCGCACGAAAGGCGUAACGAUCUGGGCACUGUCUCGGAGAGAGGCUCGGUGAAAUAGACAUGUCCGUGAAGAUGCGGACUUCCUGCACCUGGACAGAAAGACCCUAUGAAGCUUGACUGUAGCCUGGAAUUGAAUUCGGGCUUUUCUUGCGCAGCCUAGGUGGGAGGCGUUGAUAAUUCUCUUCCGGGAGGGUUGGAGCCAUCAGUGAGAGACCACUCUGGAGAAGCUAGAAUUCUAAUGGCGAUCCUUGAAUCAGGACGUUUGACAGUUUCAGGUGGGCAGUUUGACUGGGGCGGUCGCCUCCUAAACAGUAACGGAGGCGUGCAAAGGUUCCCUCAGGCUGGACGGAAAUCAGCCGAAGAGUGUAAAGGCAGAAGGGAGCUUGACUGCAAGACCUACAAGUCGAGCAGGGGCGAAAGCCGGCCUUAGUGAUCCGACGGUACCGAGUGGAAGGGCCGUCGCUCAACGGAUAAAAGUUACUCUAGGGAUAACAGGCUGAUCUUCCCCAAGAGUUCACAUCGACGGGAAGGUUUGGCACCUCGAUGUCGGCUCAUCGCAACCUGGAGCGGUAGUACGUUCCAAGGGUUGGGCUGUUCGCCCAUGAAAGCGGUACGUGAGCUGGGUUCAGAACGUCGUGAGACAGUUCGGUCCAUAUCCGGUGUAGGCGUAAGAGUAUUGAGAGGAGUCUUCCAUUGUACGAGAGGACCUGGAAGAACGCACCACUAGUAUACCAGUUCUCCUGCCAAGGGGAAACGCUGGGUAGCCAAGUGCGGAGUGGAUAACUGCUGAAAGCAUCUAAGUAGGAAGCCCACCUCAAGAUGAGUACUCUCUUAAACCUUUGGGUUUAAAAAGGUCACGGUAAGACUAACCGUUUAAUAGGUAUCAAGUGUAAGGCUAGUAAUAGUUUUAGCUGAGAUAUACUAACAGACCGAGUGAUUUUGAU
rnacentral:rRNA from 1 species